rnacentral:rRNA from 1 species
UACGGAGGGGGCUAGCGUUGUUCGGAAUCACUGGGCGUAAAGCGUACGCAGGCGGCUUUGUAAGUCAGAGGUGAAAUCCCAGGGCUUAACCCUGGAACUGCCUUUGAAACUGCAAUGCUUGAAUCUGGGAGAGGUGAGUGGAAUUCCGAGUGUAGAGGUGAAAUUCGUAGAUAUUCGGAAGAACACCAGUGGCGAAGGCGGCUCACUGGACCAGUAUUGACGCUGAGGUACGAAAGCGUGGGGAGCAAACAGG